UGAAUAAUCAAGUGGCUGGAACUAAGUAAGAAAUCCACUCGGGCUGCCGAAAUUAAAGGACUGGCGACUGCCAAAAGCCCCGCCAAACAAUCGGCCAACGCGGUGGCAAAAGGUACAGUGUAAACACGCCGACGCCAAAGGGAUAAGCAAAGCAAAAGGUUCGCUAAUUAAAAAAAUAGAAACUCGGUGCCCUUUAAAGACGUCCGGGGACGUCCGUCCCCAUCCAUCACCUGAUGAUGCAUGGCCAUGAAGUGUGAAAAAUUCGGCCUCAUUUUUAAAUAGACUUAAGUCGGUCCGGUUCCCUUCUUCGCUUUGUUUUGAACUAGGGGGCAACGGCACCGCCUGCCAUUUAUUUGGCUCAGUUCUCGAAAUUAAUUAAACACUCGCCGGCACAAGGUCAAAAGAGGAAAUGGUCUCCCCCAUACACGGCUAGUGCCAACAAUUAGCCUGCAAGGGGCCGCAAUCGGGACGGAUGUUUGGCCAAGAAAAAAGGGAAACUGAAACUGAAAUAGAAAUUCUGUUGGUUCGGGGAAAACGGAAAUUUUAACUAACUAGGGGCUGCAAGGCCUUCCGCUUCCCGCCCAUCAAAAGCUACACAAUUACGCGUUUUAAUAAAGUUUCAGCGAACUCCGCGCAUAAAAUUAAACAAUUAAGCAAAUAGUUCUUGAGACUUAAAAUGAGCAGCCAUGAGCUCUUUGACAAAUGGAAGUGGAAAAAAAAUGUGAACAAAAUUAUCUUUUCGGGUUUAUUGGCUAAAGAUGAAAUUAAAACCAGUAGAAAACCCUACUAAAUAAUUAUCUAAAAAAUAGAAGCAGAUCAACUUUACAAAUAACAUGUUUUUAAAUUUA